GACGAACGCUGGCGGCGUGCUUAACACAUGAAGUCGAGCGGAAAGGCCCUUUCGGGGGUACUCGAGCGGCGAACGGGUGAGUAACACGUGAGUAAUCUGCCCUUGGCUUUGGGAUAACCACCGGAAACGGUGGCUAAUACCGGAUAUGACGCGCCCCGGCAUCGGGGUGUGUGGAAAGUUUUUUCGGCCAGGGAUGUGCUCGCGGCCUAUCAGCUUGUUGGUGGGGUGAUGGCCUACCAAGGCUUCGACGGGUAGCCGGCCUGAGAGGGUGACCGGCCACGCUGGGACUGAGACACGGCCCAGACUCCUACGGGAGGCAGCAGUGGGGAAUAUUGGACAAGGGGCGGAAGCCUGAUCCAGCAACGCCGCGUGAGGGAUGACGGCCUUCGGGUUGUAAACCUCUUUCAGUACCGACGAAGCGCCGAUGAUGGUGGUGACGGUAGGUACAGAAGAAGCACCGGCCAGCUACGUGCCAGCAGCCGCCGUAA
rnacentral:rRNA from 1 species